AGAGGUGGGCCCUACGCGCGUGGGGUUUUUGGAAUAAGCGUUACACCGUAAUCACUACACCACUUCUACUACUUGUGUUGUGUUGUGUCUCUCUUCUUCUUAUUAUAUGGCGACAAAAUGGUAAGAAUAUUGUUUUUUACUUAAUUUUUUUAUUAAAUCAAGAAUUACAAAAUUGUCGUUUUAUUUGGUUAUGAAUUUUCGUGGUGGUGGGUGACGUUUUUGCGAAGACUUUGAGGGAGGUGCUUUGUGAGGUACAACUACAAAUAAUAGUGGUGCAAUGAGGUCGGUGUUUUUCUAAUGUUAGAAUAGGUGUGUGACUGACUAGUUGUG